GAUACCCGGAAUUUCCUGGGAGGAGGAAGAAGGGAGAUUUCUUGGAGAAAUGGGAUCAUGGAGCCACCGGGUCAUGGGGACAUCCCAGCACCCAUGUGGGAUCUCUGGGAGCAGGGAAUGGGAUCAUGGAGCCACCAGGUCAUGGGGACAUCCCAGCACCCAUGUGGGAUCUCUGGGAGCAGGGAAUGGGAUCAUGGAGCCACCAGGUCACGGGAGACACCAAACAUCAGCUCACGUCCAUCCUCACCCGUGUUUUGGCCACCUCAGGACAGUCCUGGGGCCACCAGCUCCUGGGGGACAUCAAUCCCACCCAUGGGAGCAGGGAACGGGAUCAUGGAGCCACCAGGUGAUGGGGGUGUCAAUGGUCAUGGUCCCUCCAUCCCUGCUGGAUCUCAGGGAGCAGGGAAUGCCAUCAUGGAGCCACCAGGUCACGGGAGACACCAAACAUCAGCUCACGUCCAUCCUCACCCGUGUUUGAGCCACCUCAGGACACUCCUGGGGCCACCAGCUCCAUGGGGACAUCAAUCCCACCCCUGUUGGACCUCUGUCCUGGGGCCACCACACUGCUCCCAUCUCCAGCACCAGGGAGCCAAAAUCUGGACCCACCACCCAUGUGGGAUCUCUGGGAGCUGGGAUGAUGGAGCCACCAGGUCA